AGCAGCCGCGGUAAUUCCAGCUCCAAUAGCGUAUAUUAAAGUUGUUGCAGUUAAAAAGCUCGUAGUUGAAUUUCGGGGUCAGCAGGUUGGUCGUGCCAAUGGUAUGAACUGGCCUUGCUGAUUCCUCCCUCUUGAUGAGCCGUAAUGUCAUUAAUUUGGUGUUGCGGGGAAUCAGGACUGUUACUUUGAAAAAUUAGAGUGUUUAAAGCAGGCAAGCGCUUGAAUACAUUAG
rnacentral:rRNA from 1 species